rnacentral:rRNA from 1 species
UACGUAGGGUGCGAGCGUUGUCCGGAAUUAUUGGGCGUAAAGCGCGCGCAGGCGGUCCUUUAAGUCUGAUGUGAAAGCCCACGGCUCAACCGUGGAAGGUCAUUGGAAACUGGGGGACUUGAGUACAGAAGAGGAAAGCGGAAUUCCACGUGUAGCGGUGAAAUGCGUAGAGAUGUGGAGGAACACCAGUGGCGAAGGCGGCUUUCUGGUCUGUAACUGACGCUGAGGCGCGAAAGCGUGGGGAGCAAACAGG